rnacentral:rRNA from 1 species
UGUCUAGGGGCUCAAACCUAAAGAACCCAAAUAUCUAAACGGAGAAAUUCAAUAUUGCUCAGCGUGUGAUGUGCACUUUUCUUUUAGUAAGACGCCGUGAUCCAUUAGAAAUUGGUGUACGACAGUAUACAGUGGGUCAUCAAUAGGCCGAUAUGAAGUUUAUUUGGAACAAAUGAUGCUUUCUAUAAUGAUUGUGUGUAUUGUCCGGUAAGCGUGUCGAUGACUGUCUGAUGGGUUUUAAAGAUCAUAUCCGAUCGACGGCGGUUAAAUUUGGGAUACCUUUUGGACCCGUCUUGAAACACGGACCAAGGAGUCUAUCUAGUAUGCGAGUAAAUGGAUAGUUAUGAAAUCUAUUUGCGCAAUAAACGUGACUGUUGGUGGGAUUACAACUUGAACACUCGCGUUCACUUGUUUUCCAUCCCGGGGUAUUUUCAUCCAUAUGGAAAAUAUACCAUGAGCACACUGGAUACGACCCGAAAGAUGGUGAACUAUGCCUGAUCAGGUCGAAGUCAGGGGAAACCCUGAUGGAGGACCGAAGCAGUUCUGACGUGCAAAUCGAUUGUCAGAAUUGGGCAUAGGGGCGAAAGACCAAUCGAACCAUC